rnacentral:lncRNA from 1 species
GCAAAGAAUUCUGCAGAAGGUGUCUUAAGCAUAGUAAUUCCAAUUGCAGGUGAUUAAAUCCUCUGGAAGACUGGAUCAUCAUGAUCUUGAUUUUUUUCUUGCUGUUGAUUGUCUUGUUACCUAUUCAAUAUGAGUUUGUUCACCAUUUCUAGACCAAAUUAGGAACUGAAUUUUACAACUGAAGAAAAGCACCCUUUUAUCCUAUCACCUUUAUCAUUGCAUUUUCAAUCUUUCUUGUUUAUAAAAUGUUCCCACAACCAGUAACACGAGUCUCAGACUUUAAUAAUCUUUGACAGCAAAAGUCAUGCUUCAGAUUCGAGCCCAGCUUCCAUGGUGUAAGCUCAAAUCAGCAAAACUGCAGAAAACUGUCCUUCCUCAAAUUAUUUCCCUGUUUCUGAUGUCCCCAGGUUAGUGCCUAAUGAAUAUUCAGGCCCAGUCACUUUUGACCCCUGCCUUUUUGUCUUUCUUCUGGGCAGUAAUGCUGCUGGAUAUCACUGUCUUCCCCUGAUGACCACUGAUGAGUCAUCCUAUUAUGGUCUCCAAGCAAGGAGAGGAGAAAACAAAAACAACAAAACUAAAAUCCGUGAAUGAAAGGGAACAUGUAGUGUUCCCUUCCUGUGUCCUCAGGGUGAUAAGGAAGACUGGAGAAGGAAAAUCUACCUACUGCAGCGCCACCUCUCCCAUUUUGGAAACCUGGUCCGAAUGGCACCAUCCACUGGACAUUCCCCAAAUCAAGAUCAAAAGGGCCGGCUUGCAAGUGAACUCACCUGGAGCAGACAUGGAGCCUCCCUUGUGCCUUCCCCUUGCUCAGCUCCGGCUCCAUGUCCAGAACACCAUGGGCCUGCUCUGCAGCCAGAGCCAGCACCAGAGAAAGAGCCUCCUCUGGAGACAGGAGAGAAGCAGAAGCCAGCUCCACAGCACUCCUGCCUCUCUGCUGCCGCUGACAAGGACAGGUCCUUGCAGAAGGUGCUCUUAGCCUUCUCUCCCAAGCUGCUGGCAGAGCAGCUGACCUUGAUGAG